UCUUUGUAAUAUUAGUCGUUCAAAUUUUUAUCUUAAAAAUGCAUCUCCACUUCAAAGACGAACGCAGAUGACUAAGUGAUAUAAAUUUACUUUAUGGAACCAAAGCUAGUUCUUUUAUGGAAUGCCGUACGUCACAAAUUACGUCAUCAUGCGACUUAGAAAGCAGAAAGAAAGAAAGAGCAAAAUGUUUUCAACUCCAUAUUUUCUGUAUAAUUUGCUGGUUAUAAGCAGAUCUAUGCACGGCACUCCAUUAUACCACACUGAUAGCUUCUCAAAGAUUAUAAAUAUGAUACAUGUAAGCAGGCACAGUUACUUGUCAUCACAAGGAUCAGAUUUCAAGUACCAGAGUAGUCCUAACUCCUAAAUUUUCCCAAUUUGUCAAAAGUACAUCUAGUGACACAAGAGAAGAAUGUGGAGUAAAUACCAAUAAAGGCUCGACUGCAGGGGUAUACCUGACUUCUCGGCAAUUUCUGGUUAUCACCAUCCGAAUGACCGAUUCAGAGGAGAAGACCAACUUCAAGGUGACUCUUAUGCAUUGAGAUCUUUCGCUGAUGGACUCAAAUUGUUCAGGAAAAAAUCCAGCUACCACAGCCACAGAUUUCUGGCGUGUGUUCAGAAGGAACAUAGAUGCAAUGAUGAAACAAUCUCCAGACAGAUGGGUGGCCCUUGAGCAGAGAAUGUUAAAAAGAAUUGAAGCAUUCAAUAAAGAAAAUUAAGAAACAGAAUGACGUGUCCAGUUG